UCUAAAGAGCAGCUUCCUGGAGUGAGGGUGGAUGAGGGAGCAGCCAGCCUUGGACCGUGGGAACAAUGCUGCCUGUCGCCACCCACAGACACACGCCGCCCCUCCUUGAAGGAAUGUCCACCAAGAGUGGACCCGGACACACUGCUGCCGUGAAAGUGUGCAGUACUUCCUCCAUCACACGUUCUAGUCGACAUAUCGAGUGAGGGAAGACGUAUGACCCAAGAGAGAACCACAAAGAGAGAGACCAAAGAGCCAGAGCUCAACCCCCGCAAACACAACUAGACGUGACCAACUGAUCCGUCUAAAGCACAGUUGACUCGCUCAUCAGAUCUCAACUAAAGCAAUAAAGGUGUGAAUGGUGUGUAUUCCUGGAUAAGAGGAGCGACUACCCCCCCGGGAGUGGACCACAGCACGGAUGCUACGCGCCAAUCUUUC